rnacentral:lncRNA from 1 species
AUCUUAUCACCAACCUACGGAUAAGGAAUCUGGCUGGGAAGGACUGAAUGACCUGCUCAAGGUCACACAUCUAGAAAGAGGCACCUUUAGGACUUGAAUGAGAUGACUUUUAUAUCAAUGCCUGGGCUCCUAAUCGCCAUGCUGUCUUGACCGUCUGCAACAAACCCUUCACUCGACAAAUGGGGAUGUUAAGGCCCAGAAAGGCAAAGAAAGUUCCCCAAGGUCACAAGAUCAAUUGGCCACAUAGUUGAGGCUGGCUAAGAGAAAAGAAUAAUUUCUUGCUGGAUUCUUGGGAGAACCAUACAGGAAUAAGGUGUGACGGGACAGGGAGGAAGAUUAGAGCAAAACAAGGGAGUUGAAGUGAGGGAGUUAGGAGAACCUGGAUACCCCAGAAAACGCCAGCUCCAAUGUAGCCCACCCUGGCAGCCCAGGUGAUGGUGAGAGAUGCAACUCACUUCUUCUGCUUCUUCUCCAGCUCAUGGUUUCGACUUUGUUGGUUCUCUAGCAGGACGCAGGUAUCCUCAAGGUCACAGACCCCUGAUCUCCAUUCCCCUGGACAUCUCAAGGGCACAAAUUCUCUGGACACACGGAGGGAAUAAUGCUGACAUUUUAUAGAAGCUGACCCACUGGAUAUCCUUCUCACCCAACUCCAUUAGGCUGGGGAGAGUAAGAGGCACGGUGACAAGGUGGCAAAGAUGUCACCAUGCCA